UACGUAGGGGGCAAGCGUUAUCCGGAUUCACUGGGCGUAAAGGGAGCGCAGGCGGCACGGCAAGUCCGGUGUGAAAACCCGGGGCUCAACCCCGGGACUGCAUUGGAAACUGCCGGGCUGGAGUGUCGGAGGGGUAAGCGGAAUUCCUAGUGUAGCGGUGAAAUGCGUAGAUAUUAGGAGGAACACCAGUGGCGAAGGCGGCUUACUGGACGAUGACUGACGCUGAGGCUCGAAAGCGUGGGGAGCAA
rnacentral:rRNA from 1 species